UACAUUUUCUCCGCACAUCAUCUGAGGCAGAUAUUAAUGCUUGUUUUCCUCUCUUUAUGGACUUCGAGUUUGGCUUUCUUGUCACAUU
rnacentral:snoRNA from 1 species